UACGGAGGUGGCAAGCGUUGCUCGGAAUUAUUGGGCGUAAAGGGUAGGUAGGUGGUCUUAUUUGUCUGGGGUGAAAGCCUUGAGCUUAACUCAAGAAGUGCCCCAGAAACGGUGAGACUAGAGUCUUGGAGAGGGUCGUGGAAUUCCCGGUGUAGCGGUGAAAUGCGUAGAGAUCGGGAGGAACACCAGAGGCGAAGGCGGCGACCUGGACAAGUACUGACACUCAACUACGAAAGCGUGGGGAGCAAACAGG
rnacentral:rRNA from 1 species